rnacentral:misc_RNA from 2 species
AACGCACAUUGCGCCCCCUGGUAUUCCGGGGGGCACGCCUGUUCGAGCGCCAUUUCAACCCUCAAGCCACGCUUGGUGAUGGGCACCGCCUGCGGGCGGGUCCGAAACUCGUGGGCGCCAACGGCCGGCUCCGAGCGUAGCAAGACCCUCGCUCGGGACCCCGGUCGUGGGCCGCCCCGGACCCCUCACACCUCACAAGGUUGGCCUCGGAUCAGGCGGGGAUACCCGCUGAACUUAA